rnacentral:rRNA from 1 species
GAUGAACGCUGGCGGCGUGCCUAAUACAUGCAAGUCGAGCGAACGGACGAGAAGCUUGCUUCUCUGAUGUUAGCGGCGGACGGGUAAGUAACGCGUGGAUAACCUACCUAUAAGACUGGGAUAACUUCGGGAAACCGGAGCUAAUACCGGAUAAUAUUUUGAACCGCAUGGUUCAAAAGUGAAAGACGGUCUUGCUGUCACUUAUAGAUGGAUCCGCGCUGCAUUAGCUAGUUGGUAAGGUAACGGCUUACCAAGGCAACGAUGCAUAGCCGACCUGAGAGGGUGAUCGGCCACACUGGAACUGAGACACGGUCCAGACUCCUACGGGAGGCAGCAGUAGGGAAUCUUCCGCAAUGGGCGAAAGCCUGACGGAGCAACGCCGCGUGAGUGAUGAAGGUCUUCGGAUCGUAAAACUCUGUUAUUAGGGAAGAACAUAUGUGUAAGUAACUGUGCACAUCUUGACGGUACCUAAUCAGAAAGCCACGGCUAACUACGUG